rnacentral:lncRNA from 1 species
UUUGAGUUUACAAUAUUUGGACCCGACUUGUACCCGUCCCAAACUACAUGGACCCUCCCCGACCCGCGGGUACAAGGUCCGUUUGCCCACCCCUAGAAGAAAGUGCUCUAUAGUUUACAAGGUUAUUGUGCAAUCUCCUCUCUUCCUUGGGUAAAAGAGGGAUUGCAUUGAAGGUGUUUAUGUAGUGAGGAUGUGAUGCAUAUAACCUACAAAACUUGUAGGAAUCCCACCACUCUUUUUUUGUCCCAACUUCAAUGUUGCUUCCAUAUUGUGUGAAGAAAAAAGUCUUCCCAUCUUUUAGCUUAUCAACACCUUCUACUUCAUUUCCAACAUAUGGGUAAGUGUAUUGUCAAAUCUCACACCCCUACCACAAACUAUGCUAGCAACCAAAUGCAAAGUAUUUUAAUAAAUGCACGCGGUUAAAAUAGUUGAUAUAACUUCUCAGUGACGUAUGUCUGAACUUAUCGAACAAGUUGUACACAUUUUUUUAACACUUGUUGCAUACAACUACAUACAAAACAAAAAACACUAAACAUUAGUGAUAGAUACACAAACUUAUAUACAAGGUUACAUAUCACUAAGUACCCAAACAAAACCUCACUAAAAACUCUAUUACUUUUGUAAUAUUAUUAUUCAUCAUUUAGAGUUGACAUGUGUUUUUGGUUUGGGAAAUUGCUAAGGGACCUUUCCAGGUUUCCCUCUCAUUGUACAUGGUAUUUGCCGGUUUGGAGGGAAUCCAAGGUGACAAUAAAGGUCACAUCUUAUACAAAUGCACACCUCAAGUAGGUUAGGACAAGACAUGAAGGUGAGGUGAUCUACAACAUAUCUACAACACAUUUACCUUGUCUUAUCACUAAGGUUAUGAAGCCAACCAAUCCAUUUAAACAGAAACUAUGGAACCCAAAAAUUGCUAAGCAAGUAAUACUUGUUAGUUUGGGAUUUACACUAAGAUAAGGUUGGUGCCUUUUACCACAUAAGAAACCUUAAAAAAUAUGGUAUGUCUCAUCCUUUUUGGCGCCAAGUGCUGAAGAGAAUCCCUAGGCCGAUAUCAUGUAGUCCUUUAUCACAAAUUGUUCCUUAAAAAUUGGGGGACUGUGUCCCACUCUUGUGCUAUGUAUCGCCAUUUAUCCCUUUUUUUCGAGGCCAACAUAACAAGUUUUCGCGCCACUUUAUAGCCUAUUUUGCUAGGUGAUGCGAAAUAUAUAAGCACACAAAUUAAACCCUCUUUUAUCAAUUGUAGUAAAGUAUGUAAGUAGGGAUCGUUCUAGGCCGGGGAUUAGGAGGGAUUGCUAAAUCACUUGGAAACUGACUUGAAAACGUAAAAUCAAAGUUUAAAACACUAAACUAGACUCAAAGAAUGCAAAACUAUACUUUAAAACACUAAGAUAAACAAAAACAUUCAAAACAGCAUAAACACUCAAAACUGCCUUAAAAACACUUUCUGGGCAGUUUUGAACACCUAACACAAACUUGGACGAAUUUUGGUUUUCUAAUGGACUAAAACACUUAAAAACAUAAUCUAAGACAAGUUCUAAUUAAUAUGACUCAAAGAAAUAAGAUGGGGUUGAUUUUGGACGAAAAUAAUUAAAUUAAGACAAGAACAAAGUAAACAGAUUCUUAGACAAAUUUGGGUGAAUCAAAACAGAUUGUAAAUGAAUUUGAAUGAAACUUAUGGAUGGAAGGCUAGCUAGGAGGUUCUUCUCCACACAUGUCACACUUGCAUACAAAACGAUUUCCAGUUUCUUUUCGAUAAACUAUGAAUACUCAACGCCCCAAAUUAACCGUGAAUUGCACUAAUUAACCCUCAGUUUUUCCACAAGUUAUUAGGUUGGAUGAUUGCAUACGACAACCCAAAACAUUCCCUACAAGUUCCCUACAUGAAUUGCAUAAUAGAGAUACAAGCAAGAAUCAUUAAGUUCUAUGAAAAACAUAAGCAUUGACGAGGCACUCGUUACUAUGAUUUGCAUGAAACUUAUGCCAAGAAUUUACUUAACGUGAUUGUGACUAGCAAGCAACCUUCACUACUUGUGAAUAUAAGUUCAUAACGAUUAGGUGAAAUUCCCUUAUAUUCUAGCGUCAAAUUUAUGCAUGAAAAUUAAGCGUGCACUCUCAACCAACAUACACAAAUCAGUUUUUAUACGAACGGAUAAGUAAAUUGAAUUCACAACUUAUGAAUCACAACUGGAUGUAAUCAAAUCAUAUUGCAAGCAUGAACAUAGUUUCGAAUCACCCCCUAACUAAGAGGGGUUUAGUUCCUCAUACUUACAAAGCAAAGAUGCAUAAAUUUAGACAUUAAAAACAAAGAUAGAAAACACCUAGAAACGCUCCAACACUCCCAAGGCUUGGGCAUAGGCACGGCACAAGAUGUUCCUUCUCUUUCCUUCCUUGCAAGCAGCGGCACUAGAGGUUUUGGAUGGUUUUGGGUGGUUUUUAUGGUGUAGAAUGGAUGGGGAAUGGUAUGGAAAGGUUUAGGAUUGAUGGGUGGUGUGGCUAGGGGUGGUUUUUGGCUGAAUUUGGAGAGAAUGGAGGUGGGAAUUUUCGGCCAAACAAGGAUCAAAAUCUGUUGUGUUGAUGAAUAUGAGAGGUGGUAUUUAUAGGCUUGAGAGAGGACCACUCCAUUUCCUUUGCAUGUGCAUCUUGUGUGGGUGUGAGUUGUCAUGUUUCCCCUUUACAUUUACACACACAUGCUUCAUCAUUUCAAACACCAACACACACAUUUUCUGCCAUGUUUUCCUUUACAUUUACACACACAUGCUUCAUCAUUUCAACCACCAAACACCCACAAUUCCUACCCAUGUGUGUGUGUGUUUCCUUUGCCCAUGUGUGUGUGUUUCCUUUGCCCAUGUGUGUGUGUUUUUCCUUUGCAUUUGCAGACACAUGUUCUUCAUUAUUUCAGCUAACAAUCCACCCAUUUUCUGCCCAUGUGUGUGUGUUUCCUUUGCCCAUGUGUUGCCUUUCUCUUUUUAUUAGCCAAAUCUGCUUGGCCCUUUUCUGACCUUUCAGUGUUACAAUGCCCAUAACUUCUUCUAGAAAAAUGAGAUUAACAAUCCGUAAAUUGCUCCAAAAAAUAGACAUCCGUAGCUUUCCACGCAUAUAAGGCUCAUUCUCCCAUUCAUUCUGAGCUGUUUGUAACAUGCUUCCAAAGUCAGAUAAUCUGCACAGGCAGUUUUGACGAAUUUGUUACUUAAUAAUUCACUUGUGCUACUUUUCUUUUCUUUGCUUGAUAAAUCACACAAAACACAAAAACAUAGUAAAUAGCUCAAAAAUAUAAGGAACUAACUAAGAAAAGACAAGUGAAUUUUAUGUAAUAUAUAUAAAUAUGAGGAACUAACCGUAGACGGGAAUUGAACAAUAGCACUUUCUGCCCUACGGAGAAUGUUUUGCCUCGAAUCAUCUUAUCAUGGAAAGCUUUGGUCUUCUCCUUGUAAAUGCUGGCAUUCUCGUAUGCUUCAUGCCUCAUCUCAUCAAGCUCAUUCAAUUGGAAUUUCCUAUGAGUUCCCGCUUCAUCUAGGUUCAUGUUGAACUUCUUGACAGCCCAAUGAGCUUUGUGCUCCAACUCAACGGGAAGAUGGCACGGCUUGCCAUAGAUGAGCCGAAAUGGGGACAUUCCAAUGGGUGUCUUGUACGCCAUACGAUAUGCCCAAAGUGCAUCAUCUAACUGUAAGCUCCAAUCCUUCCUUGUAGGCCCAACGGUCUUCUCUAGAAUUUGUUUGAUCUCUCGGUUGGAAACCUCAGCUUGGCCAUUCGUUUGAGGAUGGUAAGGUGUAGAAACCUUGUGGGUGACAUUGUAUUUCCUCAAUAAUGCCUUAAUGGUCCGGUUGCAAAAGUGCAAUCCUCCAUCACUUAUGAUGACACGUGGCAUGCCAAACCUUGCAAAAAUGUUAGUUCUAAUAAAAUCUGCAACCACUUUAGAGUCAUUAGUCCGGGUGGCUUUAGCUUCCACCCACUUCGACACAUAAUUAACCGCAAGCAAAAUAUACAUGAAACCAUACGAGGAAGGAAAGGGACCCAUAAAAUCAAUUCCCCAAACAUAAAAAAUUUCAACAUUAAGGAUAGAAACUUGCGGCAUUUGAUCCCUAGCACCUAUGUUACCCAUUCUUUGGCAUUUAUCACAUGUUAAGCAAAAAGUUCUAGCAUCCUUAAAGAUACUAGGCCAAUAGAACCCACAUUGUAACACCUUAAGUGCUGUUCUUUGUGUGCCAAAGUGACCACCACAUGCAUAUGUGUGACAAAAUUUAAAAUUGAACGAAAUUCAGAAUCAUGCACACAUCGACGUACAAUCUGAUCCGGGCAAAAUUUCCACAAAUAUGGAUCAUCCCACACAUAAAACCGUGCAUCAUGCCUAAGUUUAUCACGUUGGUGCCUAGUGAAAGUGCUUGGAAUUUGUUUUGACACCAAAAAGUUCACCAAAUCGGCAUACCAAGGCUCAUUAACCUUUAUGGACAUAAAUUGUUCAUCGGGGAAUGUCUCGACAAUGGGUAGGGACUCCUCAUUAUGCACCAUGCGGCUUAGGUGGUCAGCCACCACGUUCUCACUUCCCUUCUUGUCACGAAUCUCAAUAUCGAACUCUUGAAGUAGCAACAUUCAACGAAUUAGCCGCGGCUUGGCCUCCUUUUUGGUGAGCAAAUACUUCAACGCUGCAUGGUCAGUGAAAACAAUUACUUUAGUACCAAUUAGAUAUGAUCUAAACUUAUCUAAAGCAAAAACAAUGGCAAGAAGUUCUUUUUCCGUAGUGGAAUAGUUCAAUUGUGCAUCAUUCAACGUCCAGGAGGAAUAGUAGAUGACAUGCGGCCUCUUGUCCUUCCUUUGUCCUAAAACAGCCCCUAUUGCAUAAUCCGAUGCAUCACACAUGAGCUCAAAGGGAAUGCUCCAAUCUGGUGGAGUGAUGAUUGGUGCCGAAGUGAGUAGGUCUUUGAAAUGGUUGAAUGCUUGCUCACACGCCUCGUUGAACUCAAACGACACUUCCUUUUGUAGAAGACGGCAUAGAGGUUGUGCAAUCUUGGAAAAGUCCUUGAUAAAUCGUCGAUAGAAUCCUGCAUGACCAAGAAAAGAACGAACCUCUCUCACCGAAGUAGGAGAGGGUAAGUAGCGUACAAGAUCUAUUUUAGAUUUAUCAACUUCAAUUCCUUUUUCAGAGAUUAUAUGACCCAAAACAAUACCUUGUUUAACCAUAAAAUGGCAUUUCUCCCAAUUUAACACAAGGUUUGUUUCAACACAACGUUUCAAGAUUAAAGUGAGAUUAUCUAAGCAAUUAUCAAAUGAACUACCAAACACACUAAAAUCAUCCAUGAAUAUCUCAAUAAUCCUUUCAACAUAAUUAGAAAAUAUGCUACCAUACACCUUUGAAACGUGGCAGGAGCAUUGCACAAACCGAAUGGCAUGCGUCGAUAUGCAAACGUUCCAAAGGGACAAGUAAAAGUGGUAUUUUCUUGAUCAUCCGGGGCAAUGACAAUUUGAUUAUAACCAGAGUAUCCAUCAAGAAAACAAUAAAAGGAAUGACCCGCUAACCUUUCAAGCAUUUGAUCUAGGAAUGGCAAUGGGAAAUGAUCCUUCCUUGUGGUGGCGUUUAGCUUCCUAUAAUCAAUGCAUACUCGCCAACCGGUUUGGAUUCGUGUGGGUACAAGCUCAUUCUCCGCAUUCUCCACAACCGUCACUCCAGAUUUCUUGGGCACGCAUUGAAUAGGUGAAACCCAAUGGCUAUCGGAGAUAGGAUAGAUCACUCCACAAUCAAGGAGCUUGAUUAUCUCCUUUUUAACAACUUCCAUCAUUGGUGGGUUAAGACGGCGUUGAGCCUCUCUAGUUGGUUUGGCCCCCUCCUCAAGAAAUAUGUGAUGCAUGCACGUUGUAGGGCUUAUACCCUUGAUAUCGGCCAAGGUCCAUCCUAGGGCAGAUUUGAACUCCUUCAAGACUCGAACUAGUUUCUCUUCUUCUUGUGCCGUGAGGAAUGAGGAUAUGAUGGCAGGUAGGGUCUCAUUUUCUCCCAAGAAAAUGUACUUCAAAUGGCUUGGUAAUGGUUUGAGUUCAAGGACAGGUGCCUGAAUUAUUGAUGGAAGCAACUUGUUAGUUGAAAUGGGAAUGGAAUCGAAGUUAGGAGACUUACCACCAUGCUUAGGUAAUGAUUCAAGGGCAGCAACCAACUCAAUGAAUUCCUCACUAUAAGCCACGGCAUGGAAUGGUUCAUGCAUGCCGUGGGUUAGCAUAUGGUUUGCAUCCAUGGUUUUGAGUUCCAUGCCUCUUGUAAUGACUUUUUCAAGCACAUCGUCAUUCAAAUCUUCAAGAUAUCCAUGCGCCAAAGAGUCAAUUAUAUCAAUAGAGAAACAUGAAUGCUCCUCACUAGGGUACUUAAUAGAAUCUGAAAGAUUGAAAUUAACAACUUCCCCAUCAAAUUCCAUGGACAAAGUUCCAUUAAACACGUCAAUUUUAGUCCGGGCCGUCUUCAUGAAUGGCCUUCCAAGGAGGAUGGGCAAUGAAGGGGUAUGGUCUGAUUCAUCCAUUUCGAGAACAUAAAAAUCCGCCAAAAAGAUUAAGUGAUUGACCUAUACAAGAACAUCUUCCAAAACUCCCUUUGGAUAAGCGUUAGAUCUAUCGGCCAAUUGUAUGAUUACACCAUCAUUUUUCAACACUCCUAAAUUCAUAGAUGCAUAAAUUGAGUAUGGCAUAACAUUUAUAGAAGCACCUAAAUCUAACAUGGCAGAUUCAAAGCGAGUGUUUCCAAUGACACAAGGAAUUGUAAAACUACCCGGAUCUUUGCAUUUGGGGGGUAGUUUGCGUUGCAAGAUGGCGGAUACAUUUUCACCUACCUUGACAACCUCCUUGUUCGACAUCCUCUUCCUAGUGGUGCACAAUUCCUUUAGAAACUUGGCAUAUCUCGGGACUUGCUUGAUUGCAUCCAAAAGGGGUAUGUUGACUUGAACUUUCCUAAAUGUCUCAAGGAUGUCCUUUUCAGCUUCCUCCUUCUUUGUUUGCAUAAACCUACUAGGAAAAGGGACAUUCGAAGGAAAAACAUUAGUAGGAAGUGAAUUUGACACAUUCUUACCCUUAUUGGCCGAAUUGGACAGAUUUGGGCCUAUGGAAGCUUGCGGCAAGGGUGUGUCCACCUUUGCCAUGGGUGGGCUUGUGUCCUCCUCUUCUAAUUGUAGUUUUUAUCUUCUUUGAGGCCUGAUGUAGAUGGUUUAGGAUCUGCCCCAACUUCUUUUCCACUUCUCAACAAUAUGGCUUUUGCACUUUCGAAACCUCCUUUUGGAUUUGGAAUGGUAGAACUAGGAAGUUGGCCUGGGUCUCGAAAUUUGCUCACAAAGUCUGCAAUCUGCCUAAUUUGUUUCUCCAAUUGAUCCACCCUUUUGUCUUGGCUUUGCAUAGCUUUGGUUUGAUUUUCUUGCCCCUGAGACAAGUUAGUUAGUAACUUAAGGAGUGUAUCAUUGUCUAGGGAUGUACCUGAAGCAUUUGGGGCAGAUUGUUGUGGAACAUGUGGGGGUGCGUAUGGCUUGGUGAAAAACCCCGGGGGUUGUUGCCUAAAAUCUCCUUGUUGUUGGGGUUGUUGGGCCUCCCUUGGUAACCAUUGUUGUUGGGGUUGUUGGGCCUCCCUCCACUUGAAGUUUGGAUGGUCUCUCCAACCUGGAUUAUAUGUGUUUGAAUAUGGAUCAUUCCUCGGUUGGUUUUGGCCUUGAAAUCCAAUUGCGUUAGCGCUCUCCCAUCCACCAUUCUCAAUGAGUUGAGGGCAUUUUUCCGAGGCAUGUCCUUGGAUAGAACAUACGCCACACACCAUUGGCCCUUGCAUUCUCAUUCCUUCGGCCAUCUGAGACACAAUGGAAGUAAGGUUAGCUAAUUGUGAAUGAAUGUCGGAUGUGGAACUUACCUCAUGCACUUGUUGCCGUGGGGGUCCUUUUUGGCCAACACCUUCGUAUUGUUGAGCGUUCAAUGCUCGAUUAGCAUCCAUGGGUGUUUUGUCCACCAAUGCUCCACCCGCCGAGGCAUCGAGCAUUUGACGUUCAAGUGGUAGGAGCCCCUCGUAAAAGUAUUGUAGAAGUAACUCCUCCUUCAUCUGAUGCUGUGGACAAGAAGCAACAAGUGAUUUAAAACGUUCAUAAUAAGUGGGAAAAGACUCACCUUCCUCUUGCUGAAUACCACUAAUCUUUUUACGUAGGAGAAUGAUUCAAGAAGUUGGGAAAAACUUCUCCAAAAAUGCCCUCUUCAUACUCUCCCAAGAUGUGACAGUUAUAGGAGCUAACUCGUACAACCAAUCUUUGGCUUUAUCCAUUAAAGAAAAUGGAAAAGCCUUCAUCUUCAAAAUACUUCCGUCGACGUUAACCGGAGUCAUGCUUGAACACACCAUUUCAAAUUCUUUUAAAUGCUUGUUCGGAUCCUCCAUGGACAGCCCAUGGUAUUUUGGAAUGUGGUGGAGCAAACUUGACUUUAACUUGAACUCUUCGGUCUUACCUUGCGCAGCCGUGGGAUAUUGGAUACACAAUGGUGUGGCAUUAUCUAAUCCCGAAGCGGCGAGCUCCUUGAGUGUUCGGUUGUCCAUGGCUUCUUCUUCUUUUUCUUCAAAUUCAGAUUCAGCCUCUGAACUUGAACUAGGUUCACUAGGUUCUGGAUGCCUCUUCUUUCUUCUCAAAGUUCUUUCAAUCGCCGUCGAACUCCGAGAUGUUUGCACUAAUAUGUUGAGAACUACGAGUCAUAAACUAGUACCUGAAAAUAAGAAAUAAACCCAAUCAGCAACUAAAAUAAAACACACAAAAAUAAAUAAAAAGAAACAACGAGGGAUUAGCAAAGUUGCUAAUCCCCGGCAACGGCGCCAAAAAUUUGAUGCGAAAUAUAUAAGCACACAAAUUAAACCCUCUUUUAUCAAUUGUAGUAAAGUAUGUAAGUAGGGAUCGUUCUAGGCCGGGGAUUAGGAGGGAUUGCUAAAUCACUUGGAAACUGACUUGAAAACGUAAAAUCAAAGUUUAAAACGCUAAACUAGACUCAAAGAAUGCAAAACUAUACUUUAAAACACUAAGAUAAACAAAAACAUUCAAAACAGCAAAUAAACACUGAAAACUGCCUUAAAACACUUUCUGGGCAGUUUUGAACACCUAACACAAACUUGGACGAAUUUUGGUUUUCUAAUGGACUAAAACACUUAAAAACAUAAUCUAAGACAAGUUCUAAUUAAUAUGACUCAAAGAAAUAAGAUGGGAUUGAUUUUGGACGAAAAUAAUUAAAUUAAGACAAGAACAAAGUAAACAGAUUCUUAGACAAAUUUGGGUGAAUCAAAACAGAUUGUAAAUGAAUUUGAAUGAAACUUAUGGAUGGAAGGCUAGCUAGGAGGUUCUUCUCCACACAUGUCACACUUGCAUACAAAACGAUUUCCAGUUGCUUUUCGAUAAACUAUGAAUACUUAACGCCCCAAAUUAACCGUGAAUUGCACUAAUUAACCCUCAGUUUUUCCACAAGUUAUUAGGUUGGAUGAUUG